rnacentral:rRNA from 1 species
GAGUUUGAUUAUGGCUCAGGAUGAACGCUGGCGGCGUGCCUAACACAUGCAAGUCGAACGGAGAGUAUGAACGGAAGUUUUCGGAUGGAAGUUCAUGCUUCUUAGUGGCGGACGGGUGAGUAACGCGUGGGCAACCUGCCUCAUACAGGGGGAUAGCAGAUAGAAAUGUCUGAUAAGACCGCAUAAGUCCUUUGCUUCGCAUGAAGCGGAGGGGAAAAGAGCAAUCUGGUAUUAGAUGGGCUCGCGUCCGAUUAGCUGGUUGGUGAGGUAACGGCUCACCAAGGCGACGAUCGGUAGCCGGACUGAGAGGUCGGACGGCCACAUUGGGACUUGAGACACGGCCCAAACUCCUACGGGAGGCAGCAGUGGGGGAUAUUGCACAAUGGAGGAAACUCUGAUGCAGCGACGCCGCGUGAGUGAAGAAGUAUUUCGGUAUGUAAAGCUCUAUCAGCAGGGAAGAUGAUGACG